rnacentral:rRNA from 1 species
AUUGAACGCUGGCGGCAGGCCUAACACAUGCAAGUCGAACGAGUGGCGGACGGGUGAGUAAUGUCUGGGAAACUGCCCGAUGGAGGGGGAUAACUACUGGAAACGGUAGUAAAUACCGCAUACCAUCGGAUGUGCCCAGAUGGUAUUAGCUAGUAGGUGGGGUAACGGCUCACCUAGGCGACGAUCCCUAGCUGGUCUGAGAGGGUGACCAGCCACACUGGGACGGAGACACGUGCCAGACUCCUACGGGAGGCAGCAGUGGGGAAUAUUGCACAAUGGGCGCAAGCCUGAUGCAGCCAUGCCGCGUGUACGAAGAAGGCUUUCGGGUUGUAAAGUUCUUUCGGCGAGGAGGCGUUACUCGAAGAAGAAGCACCGGCUAACUCCGUGCCAGCAGCCGCGGUAAUUC